UUUUAGAUUUUUGAUUUAUAACAUGUUUUUCAAAUAAGAAAUGGGAAAUAAAAUAAUAAAAGACUCAACAUUACUGUAAAAACUAGAAGUAAAAGACGCCAUUAAAUGAACAAUAAACUCAAAACACAGUAACAAAAAAAAUCUCCUUAAGCAAACUCCUGACUGGAUGGUCAUAUGGCAUCUAUCAUGCCCAAAACUCCGGUAAGUAGUUCCACCUGUAUGAGAAAAUUAGACCAAAUAAAUUUAAAGACCUAGAACACUAUGCGAGACAAUAACCCUUCUAGUUGGACACAUGCAAGACAUGAUUGUGGUUAUUGUUUUAAAAAUUAACCUAUGUGGCUAAAAGUUGUUAAAAAUGUAAGAUUUGGCUAAGACCCCGCAAAGUCAAGAACCUAAGAUUCACUAGGAAGACCAGACCCUAUGUGUCUUGCCAACAUAUCAUGCCCUGAAAGACGGGAAUCAGGUAUGCGUAGUUCAGGCAGAUUGGAUGCGGCCGAGAAAUAACAAAAAAAAUAACUAAUCAAGAGAAGACAUAGUUUUUGUCUUUUGUUUCGAAAAAUGACGAAACGUGUAAACUCUUUUUGGAUUUUCUUUUCCCUCUUUUUUGAUUUUUGAUUUUCGAACAAAAAUAAAAAAGUGCAAAAUUUUUUGAAUUUUUCAUCAUUUUUUUCUCUGUCUUAAUAGAAAAAUGUGAAAGAAAACAUGAUCGAUUCCUACUCGCUUUAUCUUCACACUUCAACCUCUCUUAUUUUCUCUUUUUUCAUUUUUCCUCAACUUCAUUGGUCCGUCAAAUGACCCUUAUAACCUUGAAGAAGUGCGACAUGUAGCACAUAGGAUGCAUCAGGAUAGUCUGUUAUUUCGGGGACACCUGUCCAAGACGAACCCAACCCCCGUGCUGAGUCUCCUAAGUCAAAUUCACAAGAUGCAAACAAGCGCUCCUACUAGGGAUCCGACAUGAGGCUAUUUUCUUCUAGGUUUAAAUCCUAGGGUUGUGUUCUAGAUCUAGCUUACCCGAGUAGACAGCUCGAGCCGGGAUGGGGGAGAGGAGGGAGCGUCCCACGAAUACAGAAGCUUCACUGGCUUUGCAACUUGUCCGAACCUCGUUCUAAAAUUAGAAUAUGACUCUAACAGAAGAGAAGUCACACGAAGUGCACACUUCCCAGAUGAUUUAGAAGACUCGGAGAGAGAAGAGUUUCGCAAUAAUUUAUAUAUAGUUCAACAAUACCAAAGAGAUAAAAAGCAACAUUUAGCACAUUAGGCCCGAACAUGUAAAUAAAACCAGAUAAUAAAUAAAGCCAAAUAACAAUCAUUCUAAGCUCGAAUUCUUGAACCGUGAACCAGAAGUUCUUGGUUCUUGUCCCCAGCAGAGUCGCUAGAGUUGUCACACCUCUUUUUUUUACCUACACCCCCGAAAGAGGGUAUAAGGAGAGUUUUCUCCAACUUAAAAUGACAAUCAAAAUAGGAUUAUUUAUUUAAAGAUUAAGAGUCGCCACUUCGGAUAAUUUAUGGUUUCCCAAGUCAUUGGUUCAAAUCUCAAAUCGAGAAAGAUUGACUCUGUUUUACAGUCCGCAAACACAGAAAUCCGGGAAAGGAAUUUUGUUAACCCAGGAUAAGGUGUUAGGCAUUCCCGAGUUCCGUGGUUCUAGCAAGGUCGCUAAACUGUUAUUAUUGGCCUAAUUAUCUAAUUUUAGAACACUUUUAAACCUAUGUGCAUUUUUAACUUUAAAAAUCGCUUUUAAUUAUCUUAGGAAAUUUUUAGGUUAUUUAAAAUAUAUCGUAUGUCAUGCUACAAGAAAUGCACCCGCGGUUCACGACACGUUUCAUUUAAUCUUGCUGGAAAUUAGAACCAGGCCACAUAAAAUGUACCCUCGGAUUUUAGCAUGUUUAUUUUUACUAUUAUUAUUCAAAAUUAUGGCAGGGUCACAUGAAAUGCACACCCGAGCCUCUUUAAUCUAAUUUGACGUAGUUUAGCAAUCCAAUUUCUAUACUAUGACAAAAUCAUGUUCAGCUAAAACCAAUUCGAACAAACACGUGCAGAUAACCGAGCAAGCAAAUUCAAAACCACAUAGAAUAAUUAUAGAAACAACGGGAUCAUAUCACCAUACAAAUAAUUAACAUUAAGCUUGGAUCAAACAAAUAGAGGAUGAAAGAAUUGGAAUCUCAAUGCACCUAACUUUCGAUUAAACAGGAGGAUGCCAGUACAACGCCUCAAAUCUACCGCGUCCAAUCGCAAAAUACAGCGGCCAAAUGACUUAAGGGCCACGAACUGGAACAUAUGCGUCAUGACUAGGGCCUCUAAAACUACCACCCUGAUUUCCUCAUAGGUCUUGAGAGUUUUGUAUAUAGAAAUAUACAGAACAGCAACCACUAGAAAACUGGACAAAUAGCAGUUACCUAGGAUUUCCUAAAGGUUCUGCUCAUGAUUUUGUAUAUGGGAUAACAAAA
rnacentral:lncRNA from 1 species